ensembl:lncRNA
CCUGAAUUCAUAACAUCUUAAUGUAAUAUAGAAAAUCUUGACUAGAGACUCAGCAGCCACGCCUUUCACCAUCCAAAAAAAAAAAAAAAAAAAAAAAAAGUGCUAAAAAUGUAGCCACAGUUAUGCACAGAAAGCUGGUGAGGGCCAAAUGUACUUGGCCAAGAGUGGCUGGGGAAGAGUCCAAGAGAAUCUCAGGACCACGCAGCUCUGCCCAGAGCAAUGAACCAGAAGCCUGUCAUAAAACGGCUAUAUCUGAAAAAGACAAAUAUGAGACAAAGAUGCAACUGGCACCAGAAACCAUGGCAACAGGUGGGUGCAUAUUGAAAGAGCAGAAAAUUCAGGAGCAGCGGUUAAGACUGAAAUAUAUUAAUCUUUUCCCUACGAACUCCCUGCGGUCUGGGGAAUUGUCUUUUUGCAAGCUGCAAGAUUUCACACUGUAUAAUAUUUUAAGAAUGUGUUCAUUUCUCUGAAAUAUCUUAGGUGCAUACUCAUGAGCCAAGUAUCUGCAUGGAAUAGCUGCAUGGCGGUGAAGAUGCACAAACAGGACUACUGUGCCCCAAAUGCGCUGUACAAAAUUCCUGCCUAGUAAAUCCUAGUAUGAGAUUUGAUCCUGAACUCAAAAUUUAGAAAGAUGUGGGCAAAUUCCAGCAUCAUGCUAACAGGGCUGAACAUGAUGGACCUGCUGAGAGCAGAGAACAGGGAAAGAGCUUAUGUUGUUUGUGAGGGUUUCCCAUGUGUUACACUGCACAGAAAUCUCCAAUUGUUCAGCAAAUCACAAAUUUCUUCCAGCUGCCUUUGCAAUAGAUGCCUCUUGGUUUAAAAACGACAGGUCCUUGUUAUUAGGAACAUUAUUCUUUCACUCACCAUUAUGCCUUUGGAACCUUUCUUUCAAAAUUCUGGCAUUUGUUUGGCAGAAUUUCCAAAUUCAUACUAGCCUGGCAACAGUGGCUGGCUUCUCAGUGACUAAUGAGGUUCUCUUCUAGGAUCUGGCAGCACUGUCUCCAUCAGCAGAGGGGGACUUGGCUGGGCUGAGGUGUGACAGGGCAUGUGGUGGCCUGAGUUCUGCACAGACUGGUGUCUCUGCACCAAAAAGAGAUUUCAGGAGCAGUUGCCAAAUGGUGGAAGCUAAAAUGCCUGCCUGAGACUUCCCAAGUAUGGCAGAGAGAAAUGUCUAUUAAAAAAAAAUGCUUUACUUUUCAAUUAUCUUUAAAUUUCUGCCAUGAUCAUCAAUUCUACCAUUGACUGCCUCCUCCAAGAGCCACCAAGAAAACAAAAUGUUCCAGUUCGCUGUCUUUUCUCUAAAAAUAACAACAUGAAAAAGCAUGAAAGUCAUAUCCUAAAGAUAUUAAGGACUCUCGUUCUGCCUGCAACAUAACUGAAAUUCUGUUGUGGGACAUAUGGAAACUGCAGUUGGGUCCCUCACUUCAAGAAAGACAUUGAGGCCCUGGAAUGUGUCCAUGGAAGGGCAACAAAGGUGGUGAGGGAUCUGGAGCACAAGUCUUAUGAGGAGCAGCUGAAGGAACUGAAAUUGUUACCUGAAGGGAGCUUGUUGCGAGCGCUGACAGACAACAGUCCUGCAGUACUAAUACGUCUGACUUGAUCAGGAUGAAGGCAGCUGAGGACAAAAAAAAUGUCUGUAGCAAGAUGCAGAAAACAUCUUCGACCUUUCCAUCUGGAAGAUGAAGCUCAGGAAAGUGUUCAGCUCUUCAGCACAAGGAAGGUUGAGGACUGGCAGGUCGUCCCUACUCUCAUUUAAUAUCUAUACAAGGAGGAUGUAAACUUAGGAAUGUAUAUCAUGCUGCUCAUCUGUAGUGCUGAAGAAGCCGAUGGUUUUUCAGGCAUACUGGGAGCCUACUGUGGUGGAGACAAAAAGACAGAACUCAGCCACUCAGCCAGGCACUGGGAAAAACAGCUCAUGUCACGCUCAUGAAAUGAAUGCUUUCUUCAUCUAUGCUUUUGGCAAUGCCCGUAAUCCCCGAUGAUCUGAAGAAGGUACUCUGUUGUCACAUAUACGUAGUAAUCCAAUUUUAAUUAAGGAGAGCAAAACAGACUAAGAAAACGUAUGUUUGCUUUACUUUACCUAGCACAUAGGGAUCAGUCUUAUCUGGAUGGAUAGUUAAAGUUACCAAGAUCAAAAAAUCAUUUAUUCUCCUUCUAUGUACUGACAUAUAUAUAAUUUGCAAUGUAAUAAUAUAUUCAUUAUUCAAAUGUUAACAUCACAGCUGUAAAUGCAAAUAUAUGAAACAGAUAUAUGUGAGUGUCUUUAUAUCUUUUUAGUGACAUGAUCGUGCUUAAGAUAGGAAAAAACAGUUGCUUGAUAAAUCCCUUUCCUAUAUAAUAUGCUUUCUUCAAAUCUCAUCCCCUAAAAAUAUAUUGUAAACAAUCAUGAAGAGCUGAAUCCAGUACAAAAAUGAUGUAUAAUUCAGAUCAUGAACAGAGAACAGAAUUUUGUCAUUUCAUAGUGAUAUUACAUUGAAAAAUAC